rnacentral:rRNA from 1 species
AAGUCGUAACAAGGUUUCCUUCCAGGCUAUCCCUUACCUACUGAAACCUCAGCGGGCUUAUCCAAGCCGACCAGACGACGUAAAAGAAACUUGGUCCUGCCGUUCAAACACUGCCAAUGUUGAACGGUAGCGCUGGCCGACUCCUGAUUGUUAGGGAGUUGACGACACCUUGAGUCUGCGGGAACACUCCCUGGGGCAUGUAAGCCCCGAGGAACGACCUGCAGCCGUCUUGAUCCUCAGGUAGGGAUCUCGUCGGCCCACAGACUAGAUAGAGGUGGGUACCAUCUUGACAAGAUGGUAGUUCAGAUAUAGUCGCCUACCCAGAGGCACGUAAUCUGGGACACAUCGGUUCCGUAGGUGAACCUGCGGAAGGAUCAUUA